AAGUCGUAACAAGGUUUCCGAGGGUGAGUCUGCGGAAGGAUCAUCACGAGAGAGACGCCACAAGGCGCACCACAACACUGUGUUGCCGAGCGAUGAGUGCGGCGAAGCGAAAGCAAACCGCACAUGUCUAUUGACACCAUGCAAACUGAACUAGCUAAAUAGCAAGCAAGCAAGCAACAAACACAACUGUUAGCAAUGGAUCACUUGGUUCUC
rnacentral:misc_RNA from 1 species